GAGAGGGAAAAAAAAAAAACAGGAAGAUUGGCAACAGACGUUAGUUCAGGGUUAAUCUUCAAAGAAAAAAACAGCUGCAAGCUAAAAACCAAACACGAGUCUCAACAGUAGCCAGUCACUGUCGACUCCAUCCUGUAGGCAUUUCACAGGACAUGCUGAUGUCACAGUUAGGAUGGCCUCUCCCCUGGGGAAGAACGGCGGCUGGAACACAGAUCCGGCUGCCGGGGCUAGGAAGAGGGUCAAGUCAGGUGAAGCAGCUGUGAGGUUGGGAGGGCACGGUGAUCCCAAGGUGCACUCCUCAGGGUUGUAGGGGGAGGCCACAGGUGUCCAGCAGGCGGUUGGCGCCCCAAUGAGGCAUUUGAGGACAGGUAUCUCCUAGGGUCCAGGGAGGACAGAGAUCAAGGCCAGGUCAGAGAGUGGGCAGUAGGGUCCCAGUCUUUGGGUUGAGGUUUAAGUACCAGGCCUUGGGGACUCAGGGAUCAGAUCCACUAAAGACACUAUGAUCCUGGCAGGAGGCAGGGUUGAGAGCUGGGCACAAGGUUAGGGUCCAGCUUUCAACACCAGGGACUUCAUAUUGAGCCCAGGGGGCUACCUAGAGCCACUUGAAACCCUCCCAUCUGAGACAGGAUUGGACCUAGGAAGCAAGGUGGGGAGCCCCUGGGAGAGGGUCAGGGGCGGAGGGGCGGUGGUGGUCAGGAGCCCAGACCUCACAUUGCAAAACGUCCAGAUUCAAAUCCUGACUCCACUCUUCCCAGCUGUGUGACCUUGUUGCAAAAGUUGCUUCAUCCCUUGAAAACCUCACUUUCCUCUUUGUGGGUAAACCAGGAAAUAGUCCUCCCUCAAAGAGUUCUUGGGAUGUCGAAAUGGGACAAGGCAUGGAAGCAAUUGUCACUGUAUCUGGCACGUAUGAGUGCUUAAUAAAUGAUUUGUCCUCGGUCACACAGCCGAUUCUGCACCCUCCUUCCUGCUCUGAGGUAUUCCUUCCAAACUUUGCAGACGGUGACCCCGCGCCCGAGUUUUCUCUUCUCUGGGCCAACACUCCCCGUGCUUUCAGCCUUUCCUCUAACGUCUGUGUUCCUGACCCUUUACCACCUCAGACUGUAAAAAACACCCCCUCAUUACGUGCGAUCUUUCAAAACUGAAAGCAAGUGGAUGUCUUAAGAGGCCAAAGUUAUUCCCCUGGGAACAUAACUGUGACCACGUCCUCAGAUACUCUCUGGUGAUUAGAGGCUGCCAUCUUGAAUUACUUUACUCUCUCAAGGUGCUUGCCCAUCGGGCCCAGAGUGGUUGUAGAUAGCUUGCUGAUGUGGCUGGUGUUUGUAAGAACACCUUUUCCCUACUUUUGUUUUCAAAUUUCUAAAUAUCUCAAAUUCUUUUUCAUUCCCCUCCCUCCCCCUAAAAAAGCUAUGGGGUGGAGGAGCAAGCAUAAAAUAAAAAUACAAACACAAUGACACAUGCAUACACACACAAUUGGAAAAAUCUCAACAUUCAUCUCUUUCCCCUUUGCACCACCCCCUGGCCACCUCCCAGGCCAGAGAUUCCAAGAUCUGGAGCUCCUCUUAGGAAUCAUGUGUCCCGCACCCCCACGUGGAGAAUCACAGCCACCAGCCAAAAACGCUUGGUCCGGAUAUACUUUCUGUAGUUUGUGUUGCAAUGAUGAUGGGUUUUUUGUUUUUAUUAAUGUAUUUCAAUAGGCAUGUAACACAUUAUUUUUAAUAAAAUGAAUAUGGAAUUUGAAUUAUGUCACUUCCUCCCCCAAGAGUCUGUCACACUCCUUUGCUUCCUGGAAGGUACAGAGACAAUAAAUAUCUAGCCUGCAACCGCAACCCCAAGGCCGCCCCUCUGCAGUCUCUCCCAGUAAAUGGCACCAUCAUCCACUCGGUUGUUGAAGCCAAAAGCCUGGGAUUCACUGAUUCCUCUGUUCCUCUAAGCUCUUCACAUUCGACCUCUCAGCGAGGCUGUCAGCUUUACCUCCCAAACCUUCCUGGAAUCUGCCCACUUUUUCCUGCCUCCACCGCCUCCACUCCAGGUGAAGCAGCAUCCUCGCUCACCUGGACCCCUGCAGGGGCCUCCUGAUGGUCACUCCGUUCCCACCCUUGUCCUUCACCCUCAGCUCACUCUCCAUGGCGCAGUCAGAAUGACUUUUCGAAAAAGUAAAUUAGAGAAUGUCAUGCCUCUGCCUAAAAGUGAACAAAACUCAAAGUCCUUACUCAGACCUGAAAGGCCCCACUUGGUGGGCCCCCGCCUCCCUCCCACUACUGUUCCCCUUGACCGCUGUACUACGGGCACACUUGCGCGUGCUCUUUCUAUUCCUCAGUCACUCCAAGCUCGUUGCUGGCCCAGGGACUCUGCACUGGCCCUCCCUUCCCUGGGAUGCUCUCCCUCCAGAUCUGCCCAUGGCCGGCUCCCUGCCACGUGGGUCAGCUCCUCCAUGAUGCCUUCCCUGGCCACUCCAUGUGGGUAGCCUCCACUGCUCCCCAGCCUGAGCCCGUCACUCGCUAUGCAUCACCCUUCCUAUCUUCCUGCCGUUACCGACCAGAUCCCUCCCUCUCAUUUUCUGGUUUGCUGGUUGUCUGAUUCCCCCAUCGGAAAGAAAGCUUCUCAAAGGUAAGGAUUUUAUCCAUCUUAUUCAAUGCCAAAUUGAAAUAAUCUUCAGUAUUCCCAAAUGAGACACGCUUGUGCUGAAAAAUUGUUCAUGGCUUAUCUCAAAUUCAGGUUUAACUAGGUGCCCUGUAUUUUAGCUGGCAAGGCUACUCGAGGCCCAUGGUUCCACAUCUUGGGAACGUGGACCCGAGAGAAUGAAGGCGGCAUGUGCAAAGAAGGUGAGAAGAGAGAAAAUGAGACAGUGGAAAGAGAGAGACAGGCAGACAGACACAAGGAAGAGCGACAGAGAAAGGACAAGACAGCAGUAGAAAAUGAGUGAAUGAGAGAGAGACAGGGAGGGAGGGGGAGUCUGCUAGAGACAGAAAAGACAAAGAGAAAGAGCCACAGGUAGACCAACAGACACGCUCGAGAGCAUUCAAGGCCUGCGGUUCAGUGAUCCAAGGUCAGCUCCAUGCAUUCCUUCUGUACUUCGUUUGUUUACAGGCACCAAUAAAUUCCCCCUUCACUUCAACAUAAUAGCCACCCUUUCUUGAGCACUUGUGUGCGCCAGGCACUGGGCCAAGCACUUUGGAUGCACGAUCUCAUUUAUGUUGUUACAUCAUAAUGGUUCUAUGAAGGUGUUAGGAAGAACUGAGGAACAGAGAAGUUCAACAAUGUGCUCGAGGUCACACAGCCUGGAAGCAGCAGAGCUGGGGUUUGAACCCAGGCUGUCAGAUGCCAGAGUGCUGGACCACUAUGUGGAGUCACUGUCAUUCAUAACCAAGGAGGUCCUGAGUGGCACUCCAGUAGAGCAGAUUCAGCAGAAAGACCGGCUCAACGCUGGACUGCUGACCCCAGACCCUUGAGAGGCUGGAUGGCAUCGUAUGUGGGCUUGGGAGUCAGACCAAGCAGGAUCGAAUCCAACUUCUUACCUAUGGUGUGACUUUGGGGAAGUUCUUCACCUUCUUUGAGCCUCAGCUUCCUCUUCUGUAAAAUGGAGUUGAUAAUAAUAGUAGCUACAUCAUAGGGUUGAUAUGGGGACUUAAUUAAUUAAUGUGUAUGCACACACGCACGCAAAAAGCAGUUAGAUCGGGUAAGCAUUUAAGAAAUAUUUACAGAUAUUUUUAUUAUAUUCUGCUCAUCUCUGAUGCCCAGCAAGGCAUCAGAUUUGGCACAAAAGAAGUGCCCAUGGUACCUGGGUGGGUGAUGAUAAGACUGGAGAAUAUUAAUGAGAAUCCCAAUGACCAUUUAUCAACACCUACUGUGGACCAGGCAUUGUGCUGAGCACCUUGCACAUGGCUUCUCAGUCAACCCCCACAGCAACCCUGCCACGAUGGUAUUGUUAUCCCCCAUUUACAGAUGAGAAAACUGAGGUUCCAAGAAGUCACGGGACAGAAAGGCUGCAGAGAGGGGGUCAGAGCUGGGAUCUCGAUCCCAGUUCAUGAAGAGAGGACACAGAUCUGUGUGUGUGUGCAUUAAUGACAAUGGGAAGCAGACGCAUUGCGCUGAGAUGUUUUCCUGUGCACUGAGUUUUGAGUGCUUCACAAGCUCCUUCACACCCCUCGCAGAUGGCCCGUGAGCACGCCUCUCCGUGCACUGUUAUCUCACAAGAGGGGCAGACUCCCACUUUAUGAAGGAGGCACAGAGAGGUUCAGGACUUCCCGAGGGCCACACUGGUGUCAGGAAUAGAGUAAGUUCUGAACCCAGCUUCAUCAGACUCCCAGUCCAGUGUCUGUCCCCUGUCCCCAAACUCUGACCCACAGAGAACCCCACAGAGCAUGACAUCCUUCAGAUCUCCCAAAGACACCCACUCUUCACCAUCCCCACUAACAGUGAACACACCCGUUGGGGCUCCGUGAGCACUCACCUGUCAUCUUGCAACAGCCUCCGACUGCAUCUGCUGUCUCCGGGUCCUCUCGCCUUCCCUAGGUUCUUCACAAAGCCCCUACCAGGUCAGCUUUCAGAAACACAGAUCUGAACCCAGGGCUCUUGACCAUGGCUUCAUGGUCUGGCCCCUGUUCAUCCCUCUGCCUCCUGGACUCUGCACGCUGACUGAUAAACCUUCCACAUGGCUCUCUCUGGCCUCCUCUGCACUUGCUCUUUCAUCUGGGUGGUACCACCUUCCCCACUCCUCCUUCAUCCCUGCUAAGUCAUCCAUUAAGUGUCAGUGACAUGUCACUUCCUCACAGAAGCCUUCCUUGCUUGGUUCAGGUGCUCUUCUUGGAUGUACCUCUGCUCAGAUCCUUCUCCCUCUCUGUUGAAAUCACCUUUUUACUCUCCCACUGAGUCAGCUCCACGAGGGCAGGGCCUGUGGCUGCCUGUUCACACUGCAUCCCCAGGGCCUGGCACAGUGUCUGGUACCUGGUAGGUGCUCAGUGAAAGGCUGGUGGAGGAAUGAGGGUUCCCUGAGGACAGUAUGAUUUAUUAAACUAAGCACCAGGCUCCGUUUGCUGGCACACAGUAGGCUCGCAUUACGUUGUCUGUUGAAGGGAUGAUGGAUGAUUAAAUGAGUACACAAAUGCCAUGGCUCAACGCCUCCCCCCUCUGAUUUGUCCACCUCUCAGCUGCAGCAGUCUCUUGCAGAGUAAAAGGGAUCCCAGCUCCUUGUUUGAAUGCUGUGGGGUUUCGAGUAGAAAAAGAAAUACUGCUCCUUUAAAGAGAAGAGUUUCAGGUGAUAGAGGCCCUUCUUGCUGGCGAAGACUGGAGGGAGAGCUGGGGCCUCAGCCCAGCUUCGGGGUGGCCUCAAUUGGCCCGGACUGACUAAUAAAGUGUGAAAUUGACUUUAUCCUCCACCAUGUCUCCCAGCCAGAGUGUCCCUGUAGCAUCUCCCUCUGCCACAACUGAUGCAGCACUGCGGCCGUCCCCUCUGUCGCUGGUAGACAGGCAGAUCAUCAACGCCCACGCAGCCCCGGCUGGCGCUCUGCAGAGCCCAUGAAGCCGUUUGGCCUCGGGCCAGGAUGGGCCUACAAAGCCAGAAGCAUCUGAUGUGGCAUGUCUGACGCACCUCCUAAGCCAGCCGCUGGCUGCUCCUGUCCCUGUUUACUCCUCUGGCACUGGCUUCUAAGGCAGGGGCGGGAGCUGGAGGGAGAGACAGCGUUAGGUGAGCUCUUUGAGACUCCCCCCACCCCGCCCUGCCUGUUGCACCAAAUGCAAGGUUGGAGCAUCAGAGCAAAAGGAACCUCAGAAAGCAAUGAAAUCUGGGUGCUCAGGGGAGCCGCUGGGGGCCUUAGGGGCUGCUUGGGGGGAUAUGGGAGGGCCUGAAACCCCUCCUUCCACCAGGACAGGGCCAUUUUUUGAUCUAUUUUUUAAAUUUGAUCCUGUUUAAGAUUUCCCAGGAAGAAAAGGAUUCCAUGACUCUAAGAAGUCCUAAAACCAAUGAUCUAUCCAGCAGUCAUUCCCAAAGCUGCCUGUGCAUCGGGAUCAACUGGGUGACUUGUCCUCUCCCAUAGCCAGUAAGGCUGAAGAAGUCCUGAAGAAAUGCUGGACUUGCCCUUCAACAUCCAGAGGUGCCCUUCCUGGCUCUACUUCCCUCGUCCUCUGCUGGGCUGCCACCAGUUCACCGGGUUGCUGGGAGGACUGAUAACAGCAUGUGUGGUGGUUGACAUGUGCUGUUGUCUGCCCAUCACCCAUUUCCCCUGCAUCUAAUUACAGAAUGCCCCUUGUCCCUUAGGCACCCACCCUUUCCCACUCUCAAGUCAUGUGGUAUAAGCAGCACUGACCCUCAUGGUACCCCCAAUUCUAAUGGGGUCUCUUCCCCUGCAUCCUGGGGUGUGUGACUUGGGCCUGUUCAAUCUCUGUGUUCCAUGCCUCUUGCCACAAGACUUGAUUUGAGAUGGACAACAAACCCAGUCUAUUCUAUAAGAGUCAAUUCCUGGACCUUGGGCUCAAACUCUUGGGGGAGAGAAAUUCUGUUUCUAGUAGGGUUGUCGAGCUGCAAGAUUUGAGUCUGGAGCUUUCAACAACCAUUUUCCAGCUUCCUAGGGGAAAGCUAGUCUGAGAAUGAAGUUAGCACAGAGCCAAGGGACCAAGACACAGAGACCCUAAGCUGCUGGAUCCACCUGGGCCUGAUGCCAGACAACCCUGUACAUCUCAGUCACAUGAACCAAUAAAUUUUCCUUUCUUGGUCAA